rnacentral:rRNA from 1 species
UGGCUCAGGAUGAACGCGAGCGGGAGGCUUAACACAUGCAAGUCGAGGGGCAUCACGAGGUAGCAAUACUUUGGUGGCGACCGGCGCACGGGUGAGUAACGCGUAUGCAACCUGCCUAUUACAGGAGGAUAGCUUCCGGAAACGGAAAUUAAUACUCCAUAAAGUUUUAAUAAGGCAUCUUAUAAAAAUUAAAGCUCCGGCGGUAAUAGAUGGGCAUGCGUAACAUUAGCUAGUUGGUAAGGUAACGGCUUACCAAGGCAACGAUGUUUAGGGGUCCUGAGAGGGUAACCCCCCACACUGGUACUGAGACACGGACCAGACUCCUACGGGAGGCAGCAGUGAGGAAUAUUGGUCAAUGGGCGCAAGCCUGAACCAGCCAUCCCGCGUGCAGGAAGACGGCCCUAUGGGUUGUAAACUGCUUUUCUGAGGGAAGAAUAGUUUUGAUUCGUUCAAGACAUGACGGUACCUCAGGAAUAAGCAUCGGCUAACUCCGUGCCAGCAGCCGCGGUAAUACGGAGGAUGCAAGCGUUAUCCGGAUUUAUUGGGUUUAAAGGGUGCGUAGGCGGACCUGUAAGUCAGUGGUGAAAUCCUGCAGCUUAACUGUAGCAUUGCCAUUGAAACUGUAGGUCUUGAGUUAGGUUGAGGUAGGCGGAAUGUGUAAUGUAGCGGUGAAAUGCUUAGAUAUUACACAGAACACCGACUGCGUAGGCAGCUUACUGGACCUUAACUGACGCUGAGGCACGAAAGCGUGGGGAGCGAACAGGAUUAGAUACCCUGGUAGUCCACGCCGUAAACUAUGAUUACUCGUUGUUGGCAAUACACAGUCAGCGACCAAGCGAAAGCGAUAAGUAAUCCACCUGGGGAGUACGCUCGCAAGAGUGAAACUCAAAGGAAUUGACGGGGGCCCGCACAAGCGGUGGAACAUGUGGUUUAAUUCGAUGAUACGCGAGGAACCUUACCUGGGCUUAAAUGUAGACUGCAUAGUGUGGAAACGCACUUUUCUUUCGAGACUGUUUACAAGGUGCUGCAUGGUUGUCGUCAGCUCGUGCCGUGAGGUGUCGGGUUAAGUCCGCUAACGAGCGCAACCCUCGCCGUAUGUUA